GGAUAUACAAGAGCGUGAUACAUCGUGUAACAGUGAACAAAGAUGUCAGAAGGCUAUCUUUUGCAAGUCUUCACAGUCUACCCCUGCACAAGAAGAUAAGUCCAGCAGCUAAGCUCGUCAACGGAAACAAUGACAAUGCAGAACCUGCCUACGGAGAGUUCAGUUUCAACGAUUUUCUUGAAUACAUCUCGAGCAACGAUUUUAUACAGCAAAGAUUCAUUGAUACAAUAAAGAAGAGCAGCCCCUGAAGAAGACCACCCAAACCACAGAAUUCAACAAGGCAAUUUUCAUGGUUCGUCUUUUGGAUAAUUAAGGUUACGAUUCCUGAUGCAUCAUCAUCUAGUAUCUACAUCUACUCUAUGCAAUCCAACAUCACCAAAUUAUCACAAAGCAGCAACCAAGUAAAAUUAUCCUGCAUGUAAACAGAUAUAACCCACUGUUUAUAUCACAUAAAAAGCUUAAAUGAAAUGUUGUUUUUUUAUCCCUUCUGCCUUAAUAUCUGUAAUUUUCUCCUGCGGUGAUUGUAAAAACAUCUUAUAUGUAGUAGUAUCUCUGUUUCUUGCAUAUUGUAAAUCAAUCAAUCAAUUUUUGUUGAAUCAGUUAAAAAAGGUGAGAUUUUUGGAUUCAUAUAAGAUCAGAAGCACUACAGUUCAUAAUUUGAGACAACUAGUUCAUAAUUUGAGACAACUAGUUCAUAACUUGAGACAUAACUCUGUGUUCUGGUUCAUGUAAGCGAAGUGCAUAUAAAAAAAACUCAUUUAUAUAUAAAAAAAUUAAGACAAAAAAUAACUAGAAUUGUAUCCGUACAACGCAUACGAGUGCUAGAGGAGUCCAUUACAAACAGUGAUUUAAUUUGUCGAUCAAACAGUGAUCCAAAGACUAUAUCGAAUUGAAUCAGAGCAUGAGAUCGAUUACUUACAAGAAUCUUAAAAAAGGGUCACAUAAGUACCCUCCGGACAGUAAUCCGUAAUUUUCCGUUUUAAAGCUCUCCCUAACGGCGGUCUUAGCCUCUCCCUUGCUUCCGGCGGCGACGAGGAAGUCGCAGACGAGUUUGUUUGUUUUUUUCA
rnacentral:lncRNA from 1 species